rnacentral:rRNA from 1 species
UACCGAGUCUAAACAACUCAUCAACCCUGUGAACAUACNUAAAACGUUGCUUCGGCGGGAACAGACGGCCCCGUAAGACGGGCCGCCCCCGCCAGAGGACCCCCUAACUCUGUUGCUAUAUGUAUCUUCUGAGNUAAACAAGCAAAUAAAUUAAAACUUUCAACAACGGAUCUCUUGGCUCUGGCAUCGAUGAAGAACGCAGCGAAAUGCGAUAAGUAAUGUGAAUUGCAGAAUUCAGUGAAUCAUCGAAUCUUUGAACGCACAUUGCGCCCGCCAGUAUUCUGGCGGGCAUGCCUGUUCGAGCGUCAUUACAACCCUCAGGCCCCCGGGCCUGGCGUUGGGGAUCGGCGAGGCGCCCCCCUGCGGGCACGCGCCGUCCCCCAAAUACAGUGGCGGUCCCGCCGCAGCUUCCAUUGCGUAGUAGCUAACACCUCGCAACUGGAGAGCGGCGCGGCCAUGCCGUAAAACACCCAACUUCUGAAUGUUGACCUCGAAUCAGGUAGGAAUACCCGCUGAACUUAANCAUAUCAAUAAGCGGAGGAAAAGAAACCAACAGGGAUUGCCCCAGUAACGGCGAGUGAAGCGGCAACAGCUCANAUUUGAAAUCUGGCUCUCGGGCCCGAGUUGUAAUUUGUAGAGGAUGCUUUUGGUGAGGUGCCUUCCGAGUUCCCUGGAACGGGACGCC